CCCGCCGCAUUGCCGCUUUGCGCCCUGGGAGAAGGAAUUGCGCUUUGGGAAAAGCCAAUUUCAGGGAUGCGCAACUGGGAAAAGUUUUCGCCGGACUUGAAGUCCUCUUUUUCCGGUGGUGGUUAGUCGGUGGGGUGGGAGGGACUCAAGAGUGACUUGGCGCGGUGAGAGUGUGCGUGAUUCUGACAUUCCGAACGCCAAGGCUGGAGGGAGAUGUUAGCUUUUCUGCAGACAUGGCGCAUUCUUUCUGACCCUGAAGGAACUGCGGGAGUCCAAGGGCGAAUUGACAGAAAAGUCAAAGCUAACAUUCUCACAUGUCAAGUUAGAGCCACACACAGAUUUCUGUCAGUGUCACGGUUUCCCAGUGUGUUAGCCUGUACCCUGACGUGUUGAAAGUUGAUGCAAUUCAAAAUUCCUUAACGUGACCCCCUUUUGAAGAAAAAAAUUAGCUGCAAAAAGAACCCGAGACCAACACCACAAAAACUUCCACUCACACGUAACACGCUAGAAACACUAUUUAGAACAGACAACCAGAUGAAAAUAUCACCCCUUCUGUUGCUACUCUGGCAUCCAUGCUAACACGUUUGACCAGAGAAGUCACCAGACAUCGAUUCAGCGUGAAUUUUUCUUGUUUUCAUCAACACUGGGCUCUGCACUAAUUAUAUAAGUCCUUUCCCUUGUCUUUAUGAAACGUAGUCAUUAUCCAAUUUUGGAAGUAGAAAACAAUGUAUUUGUGGUCCCAGGAUUAAGGCAAACAAAUACAGUGCAAAGAAAGAUGUAAUAUAUAGACAUAAUGAAAGCAACUGCUUCAAACAAAGAGAUUAAUGAUUGAAUAGUGUGUUCCAAGGAAAAAAAAAAGUACCUCCAUCGCCUUUGUUUAGCCAUGUCCUAUUCUAAAAUCGUUGUUUAAAUAAGGGUGGGAUGGCCUGGGGACGUUAAAGGGACACUUUUCUGUUAAGUCAGUUCCAUUGUGGGUUCACUUUGAGUGUGUUACAGGAUUGUAUAGCUUCUUCCUUCUCAGACCUUGCAUAAGAGAGACCCUCAAAUAUAUCUGACUUUCCAAUAAAAACAAAUAGAUCUU